rnacentral:lncRNA from 1 species
AUGUUUAACGUGUGGGUCACUUUCACAUUCCGGCCGUAUUUUCUCAUUUUCAGGCUGCGUUGGGGUCUGUGGGUGAGGGCGAGGGCAACUGGGCCGCUGGCGGUCAGCUGCACAGAGCCGGGAGGGCGUCUCUGCACUGUCAGAGGGCCGUGGCUGUCGCCUUGCUCCCGAAGAGCAGGUGGCGACAGUGUCAGCAUCAGCUCGCGUUGCCCUUGCGUCAGGCCUUCUUCCUCGGGCUCGGGAGCUCCUCUCCUCGCCCCUCCGCCGCUUCCCGACUCCCGCCCUGACCCUGCCUGGGCUGGCCCGCAGGUCUCAGCCGCUUGUGGAGGCCCUGAGGGGCGGGGGAUCUCAGAGGACCGUCGGGAUCUGCCGGCGCCUGCUCCGUCCCCGAGGGGUGAGGCUUGUGCCCGUGGUGAUGGUGGUGGUGGUGAUGGUGGUGCGGGCGGUCGUUGUGGGGCAGGGGCGCCUCCGUCGCUUUCUCUUUGGCAGCCGAUGAGGUGUUGGUACAGAACUCUUCAGCCUCGGGCAUCUGAAACACAGUCAUCACGUUUCAUUUCCCCAACUGGGCCCUGCUCUCCGCUAACUUGGCCGGAACGAGUUACCCAACGCCACACAGGAAGCAACUGGCAAAGCAGAAUUAAAACACGGGUCUUCUGA